GUCGAAUAUACAAGUGGAUGAUUUUCUCAUUGUCGCAAAGCACAACAGUCUCAAUGCUCCUUGGAGAUCCAUAUAUGCAAAGGUUUGGAUUGGUUCAAGUCUCAAAUGGGUUGGAAAUUAACAAUAUGGCAGGGAUAUGUGGAAUUCUAAUUGUAAUGGGUUGGAGUUUCCAUCACAGAAUACCCCCGAGAGACAGAGAAGCCCUGCUUUGGAGAAACAUCAAAGAUAAUCUCCCCUCCCUCUUUGAUAACAGCCAAAUGGGAUGUCCCCCGUAUGAAAGCCCAACAGAAAUAAUGGCAUUAUUUCUCUAUUCAAUCUGUCAAUCUUACUAGCUAUGAAUCUUCCACCAUCUUCUAUUGAUGAGAGCUUCCCUUUCUUGCAUGUGUGAAAAUCUAAGCUCCCCAAAAAAUGCAAGUUUUUCUUAUAGACUGCAAUUCACAAAGGGAUCCUCACUAUUGAGUCGAUACAACAUAUAUAGACUUAAAAACUUGUCUUAACCCUAAUUGGUGCAUCAUGUGUAAAAAUAACAGUGAGACCACAUAUCACUUUUUCCUCCUUUGCCCCUUUGUUCUAUCUUUAUGGAGUAAAGUUAAGGAACACAUAGGUUGGAUAAGCAAUACAAACAACUUAAGAGACAUGCACAAGCACAUUUGUUCUAUAAACACUAAGUCUCAAAAGGGUGUGAUUCUCUUUAAUCUUCUGGUGGCCACCACUUGGGUUACAUGGUUGGAAAGAAACAGAAGACUCUUCAACAACAGCCUUGAUUCGUCUGUUAGUCUAUGGGAGAAUAUAUGCAACCUCACUAGUUUAUAAUAUUCAAAAAACAAGUUUUUCAAAAGUUAUUCUCCUACAUUUAUUGCUUUAAAUUAUAUUAACGCUUUUUGUUAGCACUUUAUUUGUGGCUUA